GUUUCAGGCUGGAACCCACUAACUGGUAGGAACAAGGACAUGCUGGGAGGCUGGCCAUUGGGCCAUCAGUAGCACCUUCUUGCAGCCACAUGUAUGUGGACUUUACAAUCUUUUGGCUUCUGUUUGUCCCAUAGUCAGGUGCUCAGAACCUGGAAUGAAGAAGGAGGCUGGCCCUGGGGUGGGUGGGGAAGCUGUUUUCUGCUUCUUCCCACUCUGUGACCCUCCCCUGGCCCUGUCUGACUCCAACGCUACCCACCUGGACCAAAGCCUCCAAGUGCUAAACUACCCAGAGGCCAAUGGGCUGCCGCUGCAGGCGAUGUCCCUAACAGAACUGCUGCCCAUCCCCCUCGGGGGGAAGCACAGCUUGAGUGGGGAGAGAACCUACCAGAAAAAACAUCCUCUGCUGCAGGCCCUUCUUGGUGAGCUUGUGAAGGCAGCCCUCACGGAUGAACUCCUGAAAGACAGAGACAGAGUCCCCUUUCAGCGGGCUGAGGGCAGCUGGCGGAUGCACUAGCCGGGCUGAGGGUCAGGAAUAGCCUUGUGGCCGCUUGUGCUCCUCUGGCUCCUCCCAAUGAGGGUCCUCUAGUGGAGCCUCCCAAUGGGGCUCCUCUACCCUCAGCAGUGCCCUUGGUCACCAGGUCCUGUCUUGGUGCCAACAAAUUCAGUCCUCAAACCAUCUACUGAGCACCUGCUCUGGGCUAGGAGCCCUGGAGCCCUGAUACAACCAAGAGGUAGAGCCCGGAGUAUUGUUCUUGCUGAGGAGAAGCUUCUGGAAGGUUCAGCCACAAAGAUGUCAUCUGAGAUCAGCUUUGAAAACAUUGGACAGGAGCAGGUUCGAGAAUGGGAGGAGGAAAGGAGGGUUCUCCUAAGUAUUCAAAUUAGCACCAAGAGCAGGUUCGAGAAUGGGAGGAGGAAAGGAGGGUUCUCCUAAGUAUUCAAAUUAGCACCACCUCGUCCACCACAGGGCGUUAGAUAAGAAAAAAGAAUCCUGCCAGUAUCAGACACCUGCGCAGAUAGGGUAAGCGAGAGUCCUGGGAGCCCCUCAGAUUCCUAACCUGGACUGCUCUGGAGCCCUUCCACCAUCUGUUCCUUUCAGACAAACAGGAGGAGCAGCAGGUGUCCGGAGAAUGUGCUAGGGGCCUCCUAGUAUGAGCAGUCCCAACAUACUGCGUGAAGGCAGAAGGAGGAGCACACUACACAGAUAAUCCUCACAGAAACGCAGGAUGAAAAACCAGCCCAAACAGAAACGUCCACCCCACACAAUGAAGAAGGUGGUCAUAUGGAUGCAUUUGCGUUAACUGGAUGGGGCCGGUAACUAAGCUUGUGGCUCUCACUCCACAUCUGCCUCCUAGCCCUACUCUGAGAGGCCACAGGGGCGUGACAGGGAGCCCUGGAGACCGCACGCCGAGGUCCCUGUGAGCUGCUGGCAAUUGCUUGGCCCUGGGAGUGGCCGUUCCUUCCAGCCACAGGUAGCAGCAUCACCCUCAGAGACCCCAGCACUGGCUAAGCAGCAGCCCCCUCUCCAGAGCUCCCUCACAGGAUGUGCGUCCCAGACCCACGGGGCGCCUUCUCCACCAUGCACUGGCCCCGCUGCCAGCUGUGAGGCUCAGCACCGUGGGCCUUUGACCAAGCUGUCAAAUUUGUUCCCCAGCCCUAGGGUAGUAACUGUGGCUCACAGUUCUGCCACCUCCCUGACACUUCACAGUUCUUUUUACCCUUUGGCACCUCAUCAACUUUAUACCUGGUUAACAAUCCUUGCUAUUACAUCCUCUGCUCAAAUAACUGGCAUGGUUUCUGUCUGUUGACUGACACACAUAUUUAACUCAGGAAGACAAGAAAUUCUGGGCUAUCCAGACAUGACUUUAGAGAUUUUGACUAAUAAUAACAAAUUAUUAUUUGAA
rnacentral:lncRNA from 1 species